rnacentral:rRNA from 1 species
UACGGAGGGUGCAAGCGUUGUUCGGAAUCACUGGGCGUAAAGCGCGUGUAGGCGGCUAUUUAAGUCUGAUGUGAAAGCCCUGGGCUUAACCCAGGAAGUGCAUUGGAUACUGGGUAGCUCGAGUACCGGAGAGGAGGGUGGAAUUCCCGGUGUAGCGGUGGAAUGCGUAGAUAUCGGGAAGAACGACCGGUGGCGAAGGCGGCUCGCUGGGCCAUUGCUGACGCUGAGGCGCGAAAGCGUGGGGAGCAAACAGG